rnacentral:rRNA from 1 species
UACGAAGGGGGCUAGCGUUGCUCGGAAUCACUGGGCGUAAAGCGCACGUAGGCGGCUUUUUAAGUCAGGGGUGAAAUCCUGGAGCUCAACUCCAGAACUGCCUUUGAUACUGAGAAGCUUGAGUCCGGGAGAGGUGAGUGGAAUUGCGAGUGUAGAGGUGAAAUUCGUAGAUAUUCGCAAGAACACCAGUGGCGAAGGCGGCUCACUGGCCCGGAACUGACGCUGAGACGCGAAAGCGUGGGGAGCAAACAGG